rnacentral:rRNA from 1 species
GACCAGACUCCUACGGGAGGCAGCAGUGAGGAAUAUUGGUCAAUGGGCGGAAGCCUGAACCAGCCAAGUCGCGUGAGGGAAGAAGGCCCUGCGGGUCGCAGACCUCUUUGGACGGGGAGCAAGGCCGCCGACGUGUCGGCGGAAGGAGAGUACCCGUAGAACAAGCAUCGGCUAACUCCGUGCCAGCAGCCGCGGUAAUACGUAGGGGGCAAGCGUUAUCCGGAUUUACUGGGUGUAAAGGGAGCGUAGACGGCAGUGCAAGUCUGAAGUGAAAGCCCCGGGCUUAACCCGGGAACUGCUUUGGAAACUGUACGGCUGGAGUGCUGGAGAGGUAAGCGGAAUUCCUAGUGUAGCGGUGAAAUGCGUAGAUAUUAGGAGGAACACCAGUGGCGAAGGCGGCUUACUGGACUGUAACUGACACUGAGGCACGAAAGCGUGGGGAGCAAACAGGAUUAGAUACCCCUGUAC